UUCUCAUACGAUCACCGAAGUUAAGCAACGUCGAGCCUGGUCAGUAACUAGAGGGGGUGACCGUUUGGGAAUACAAGGUGCUGUAAU